CCAGAGGGCCGGGCGACCGCGUCGGGAUUUGUCCCGCCGAGGAAAGUCCGGGCUCCACGGAACGACGGUGCCGGGUAACGCCCGGCGGCCUUUCGUCUUCGGACGCGGGGUCAGGGACAGUGCCACAGAAAGCAGACCGCCGUGCUUCGGCACGGCAAGGGCGAAAGGGUGCGGCAAGAGCGCACCGCGGGACCGGCAACGGAACCGGCACGGCAAACCCCACCGGGUGCAAGACCGAAUAGGGGUGGCGCAUGGGCCUGUUCCGGCCCGCCGCCCGGGUUGGUCGCUUGAGCCCCUCCGCAAGGACGGGCCUAGAGGAAUGGUCGCCCAUCUGCUUAUCGGCAGAGGACAGAACCCGGCUUACAGGCCCUCUGGCAAA
rnacentral:RNase_P_RNA from 1 species